rnacentral:rRNA from 1 species
UACGUAGGGUGCAAGCGUUUGUCCGGAAUUAUUGGGCGUAAAGAGCUCGUAGGCGGUUUGUUGCGUCGGCUGUGAAAUCCCGAGGCUCAACCUCGGGUCUGCAGUCGAUACGAGCAAACUAGAGUGUUGCCAGGGGAGACUGGAAUUCCUGGUGUAGCGGUGAAAUGCGCAGAUAUCAGGAGGAACACCGGUGGCGAAGGCGGGUCUCUGGGCAAGCAACUGACGCUGAGGAGCGAAAGCGUGGGUAGCGAACAGG